rnacentral:rRNA from 1 species
GACGAACGCUGGCGGCGUGCUUAACACAUGCAAGUCGAGCGGUAAGGCCCUUUCGGGGGUACACGAGCGGCGAACGGGUGAGUAACACGUGGGUGACCUGCCCUCAGCUCUGGGAUAAGCCUGGGAAACCGGGUCUAAUACCGGAUAUGACUCCAUGACGCAUGUUGUGGGGUGGAAAGCCUUGUGCGGCUGAGGAUGGGCCCGCGGCCUAUCAGCUUGUUGGUGGGGUGAUGGCCUACCAAGGCGACGACGGGUAGCCGGCCUGAGAGGGCGACCGGCACACUGGGACUGAGACACGGCCCAGACUCCUACGGGAGGCAGCAGUGGGGAAUCUUGCGCAAUGGGCGAAAGCCUGACGCAGCG